GACGUAGGAGGCGAGCGUUGUCCGGAUUCAUUGGGCGUAAAGAGCGCGCAGGCGGCUUGGUAAGUCGGAUGUGAAAACCCGAGGCUCAACCUCGGGCGUGCAUCCGAUACUGCUCGGCUAGAGGUAGGUAGGGGAGAUCGGAAUUCCUGGUGUAGCGGUGAAAUGCGCAGAUAUCAGGAGGAACACCGGUGGCGAAGGCGGAUCUCUGGGCCUUACCUGACGCUGAGGAGCGAAAGCGUGGGGAGGCGAA
rnacentral:rRNA from 1 species